GACAAAUCUGAAAAACACCUUCCCCCAACCCCUCCCUCCUUCACAGGCUCUACAUCCUCCCUGCAGUGGCACAGGGAGACAGGGAUGGG